UCCCAUGCCAUCCAUUACCAAACUUGCCUAUAUAUAGUUGAGCUUAGUACAUGAAAAUAUAGUAUCACAACAAGCUUUCUAAGUUCAUUUGUCUAUCUACUUUUUCAGUUUACUACCAAUCUUUCUUCAUCCUUCAUCAUGUCUAACACCUGCGGAAACUGUGACUGUGCUGACAAGACCAACUGCCCGUAAGUAUUCUUACUUCAACCUGUUUCCUUACAGUCAGUAUGUUAGGUUUUCUGUAAUAGAUUCAUACAUAUGCUCCUGUAUCAGUUCCCUUCAAUUCGCUUAUAUUUUCAUGUAGGAAAGAGACUUCUGUCUAUAAGGUGGUUUAUUUAUCUAUAACUAUGGUUUUGGCAUUUUUUCAUUCUGUUUUCGGCGAGGAAGAAUCCAACUAAGCUUUGUUAUUAAUAUGAUUUUAUCCCAAGUUUCUGUCUUGUUGGAUUGAAGAAAAGAAGACUUUCUCUAACAUAUAUGUCAUAGAUAUCAGUAGCUAUAUCAGUGAAAGAUAUCAGACUGAGAAGUGUGUGAACUGGUCGUGUUUUAAUGGAACUUCUUAUUUAUUAGCAAAGUGCCUAAUUUUUAACAUAACAUAAACAAGAUAAGGAAGAAGGUUCACAAUAUAUGUUGUUGUAAGCCUAUAACUGCAAAUGUGCAGAAAGUUAAACGACUUCAUAUUAUCUCUUUAUCGCUUUCUGUUUGUCGCUUUUAAGAUCCUUGGAUGAGGUUUUGUCGAAUAUAGGGUUUUGCAGUCUGCCAUAUUUGCAUUUAUCAAUAUGUGUAGGUGCACCAUAUAUAGGUAUGGUUCUCUAAAGGUUUAGACGUACUUUAACUCUUACUUUUGUAACACUUCUCAGUUGUUGCAUGUAUGCAGUGUAAAGCCUUAGACACUUGCAUCAUAACCUAUGCAGACCAUAUAGUUCAUGCAGGCAAAAUAGAUAAACAUAAGUACUUUGCUAAUUUGUUUCAUGGCAAUUGCAGUAAAAAGGGAAACAGCUAUGGUGUCCAGAUCGUUGACACCGAGAAGAGGUACUUAAGCUUUCCAAACUUCCAGAACAUAACAUGUUUCUCAAUGACCUUUAUUUCCUAUUGAAUGGUGUUCUAUAACAUAGCACUAUCAUAUUAAACACCUCUAUUGUAUUUUCUAAUGGGCUUAAUUUUGUUAUCUUGUAUUUGACAGCUACUACGACGUUGUUGCUGAAGUUCCAGCAGGUGAGAACGAUGGCAAGUGCAAGUGCGGACCAAGCUGCAGCUGCGUGAACUGCACUUGUGGUAGCCACUAAGUAAUAUCCUGGACACUCAUCAUCAUGUGAUGUGAAAAUGGUGUGAUUGUAUACGUGUUACUGAAUAAAAGGUGCAGUGCACUUGUGUCGUUGCUGUUUAUGUUUGUGUUUGUGCAUGUUUUAGUGUUGAUGUGAAGUGUCAAACAUGUAUGGAUGUGUGUCUGGUGUAAUACUCUUCAGUGUUUCUGUUGUUUAAUGAAUUAGUAUAUAGUGAAAAUUACUUUCUCAGUAGUUACAGAAUACUAAGUAUCUAUUUCACCCAACCAUCCAUCUAAUGACGAGUGCAAAGAAUCGUUAUCCCUGUCAUUUAUUCCACCACAUAAACUUUUGAAAGGAAUUUCAUCUUGUUGUAAGGUUUUCAGUAUAUUAAGACCACUAUCUACUUUUGCACAUUUCUGUUCCGAUCUUUUUAGUUAAAUUCUAGUUAGACUACUUUUAGUUUACAGGAUAUUUCUGCAAUCAGCUUAUACAUAGAUGGGAUCUCCCAUGGGACGAUUCCAUAGUCAUUGCUAUACUCUUCCAUGCCUUCAACCAUACACUGCCAAGAAAGGCCUCAUGCACCUGCUCCAUUAUUCUUUGCUGACUCGAAAAUGACGUCGAAAACAGUUCGAAAUCCUUGUCCUUGUUUGACAGACCAAAUUCAUUAUCAUCAAUAUGAGAGUGGAUCCAUUUUCUGACAAGUUUCAGUUUGUCUUCAAGUUCUGCUCUAUGAUCCUGGACAAGAAUGGUAUAAUAUUUUGUUUACGUAUUACAAAUGUAUGUAUUAGAAUGAAAGUAUUUUAAAGUUGGAUUUCGGUGGUUAUUACCAUCGAUCAACAAAAAUACGAGCAGAGGCAAAAUCUACAUUUAAGAUAAUCACCCAAUCUCCAGAAUUAACAUUUAAAUUUUCAGGGCUUGAAGGACCAUAAAAGCCUUCUAGACCAUCAGUACGUAAAUAGAUGAUUCUUGCCAAAUGAUUUCACAAAGCUGGCCAUUUCUGCAAUCCAAUGCAGCAAUGCUGCAAUUCUUUAUCAGUGAACUUUAUACCCUAAUCAUAAGCAAUAGCAGCAUUCUUACCUUCAUCCUAGAAAACAAUUGGUAUAAAUUACUUGCAGUAUGUUGCAUGGAGGAUCCGUCUUGCAGCGGGGCUCGUUCAUCAACUAAGACAGUAGGGUCAUCUCUAUAAUGAUUUCCAGUUAUAGUUUCUUUCUUUUGAAGCUUGGAAUCCAUUGUGAGUUGUAAAUUCCUUUGAAGUGGCAUCAAUGGCGGCUUGAACGGCUAUGCAAAUGUUUCUCUCCAACUCCUUGUUGGUUUACUUCUUUUGGAGCAAUUGAAUUUUAAGAAAAUCUUUUUGUUGCAGAUAACCAGAUUAGACACCAUUUAGUAUUAUUUCCUCAGGACUCCGAAUUGCAAACCAUUGAUUGAGUUAGAUAUAUGACAUUAGGACUCGUAGAUCUUUCCAACAAGCUAUAGAACGCAAAAUGGGUCAUAAUAGAGCCUGUAGAAGCUUGCAAAGUUGACAUGUUGUUUUGCUAUAUGGACAAAAACUGGUUGUGAAGAAAGAAGAAGAAAGAGAUCGAUGUAGAAAUUUCUCAAAGAAGAAGAGAUGCAAGGUUAGAAAGCUAGACGACGGUGAAGAAUUAAGCUUGGAAUCCACCAAGUAAAAUAGAAGAAAAGAAUCUUCCAUAUAGCUUGAUCCAUCAACCAAUACAAAUUCCAUCAAUUAACAUAGAAAGCCUUCGAUCUUAACAUGAGCUGAUGAUACAGGUGUAUUCUAUUAGGAGCUUAGUGAGGAUAGACAUUUCUAUUAGGAGCUUAGUGAGGAUAGACAUUUUGCCACUCUUUCAGGACGACGCUGCAGGUCCAGGGCGCAGCGCCUGGCUGGGGUCAAGGUCUAUAGAAAGGUGUUUUGGCCAAAGCCAAAAUAUAAGAGAGGCAGCUACGGCUUAGCUUGUUUAGAGAGUAUUGUGAGGCAAAGAUUCUUGUAAUCUUCAUAAUAUCAAACAAUCAAUUGCGAUCGUUUUUUCCUCUAGAAAAAAGAUUUAAAUGAAGAUAAUAUCAUGGUUGUCUUUUUGUGUAUGAGAGAAAUCAAACACUUCUUUAUAAGGUAAGUGAAGAUGACAUGGGAAGCCAAUAAGAAGCCACACAUGUUCCAUUAUUGAGAUUCCUUGCGAUAAUUUUCGCAGAGGCGUGUGCUCCUCACAAGUCUUUGUAUGUCCCCAUACAUUUCAUGACAUCCAUAACCAAACUUUGCCUAUAUAUAGUUGAGCUUAGUACAUGAUAUAUAAUAUAGUAACCCAACAAGCUUUCUAUAAUUUCAUUUGUCAAUCUACUUCAGUUUUAUUACAACCAAUCUUCUUUAUCUUUUAUCAUGUCGAACACCUGUGGAAACUGUGACUGUGCUGACAAGACCCAGUGCCCGUAAGUGUUCCUACUUCAACCUAUACUCUUUAGGUAUCCUCCUAGACCAGUUCCCUUUGCCUAUAUCUUUUCAUUUAGGAAAGAGGCUUCUGUCUAUAAGAUGUUUUCGUUCUGUUUUUGUCGAGGACGAAUAUGAUUUUU
rnacentral:lncRNA from 1 species